rnacentral:rRNA from 1 species
UACGGGGGGAGCAAGCGUUGUCCGGAUUUAUUGGGCGUAAAGAGCUCGUAGGCGGUCUGUUGCGUCUGCUGUGAAAACCCGGGGCUUAACCCCUGGCUUGCAGUGGAUACGGACAGACUAGAGGUAGGUAGGGGAGAAUGGAAUUCCCGGUGUAGCGGUGAAAUGCGCAGAUAUCGGGAGGAACACCGGUGGCGAAGGCGGUUCUCUGGGCCUUACCUGACGCUGAGGAGCGAAAGCGUGGGGAGCGAACAGG